UCUCUCCUCUUUUGGCGUGUUUCUCUCUUUCUCUCCAAUCUCCUCCAUUCAUCCUCCAAAAAGACCAGAAAAUAACGAUUCAUCCCUUGAAGGUCGUCGGAGAAUCCAUUGUCGGCGUCAAAAAGACGAGAAAUCAUUUAAUUUUGGAUUUUUUCUCUCCUUCGUUGAUUACCCCGUCCGCCAUGGAUCUCGACGAGCGAAGAUCAGGUGGUACGCUCGAAGAAGCUUGAAGCACAAGCUAGAAGAAGAUUGUUAACAAAUUAAAUGAAGUAUUUCAUUUGUUGAGAGUGAAAGAAAAUAUCACAGAAGUGGUAGAUGUGCACUCGUGUGGCUAGGAUAUCAGCUGCGGGAGUUAAUCCAAGGAUUUUUUUUAUCUCUGACAUCUUUCAGGAAAUUCCGUCUGAUCUGAAUUUCUAGACAAUCAUACACAGUUACACUUGCAAGCUCUGCUGCAGAACAAUGGUCAAGACUCUGUUUUCUGCUUAAUCAUGAGAGUAGAUUUUCCUUACCGAGCAAUCAUGUAGUGAUGGGCAUCAUUCAGGAACAAGUGACGGUCUUUUUAUCGAUCAUUUUCAGAAAAUUCCAUUGGGAAAACAAGUGCACACUCGGAGUACAAUGCCGAAGAUAGAUAGAAGGUAGAGAGAGAAGUUCAGGAACAGUAUUCUGCAUUGAUUUAUAACUACUAAUAUAAAUCAGCCCACUGAACCAAGGGAAUGGUGAGACCACCCAUGGGAUGAUUAAAGCCAAACUCUUCUUCAGCUCGAUUUAGAAGAUUCCGAAAUGCUGGCUGGCUUAAGCAAGACAGGGGCACCACAUAUCGCUUUUUUUCUUCAUUACGAUCUCCUACAUAAACUGCGACAUGGCCCUUUGGGACUCCUUUUUGGUUUUUGCUAUGCAAUUUCAGAAACUGUUUGGAGGAAGAAGACGAUAUCAUAGACGGCAAUCGGAAAACCAUGGUCUUAUGUUUUAAAGGACUUGUUUCUUGAGUAAGAAGAGACCUUUGGGCUGUGGAGAGGAUUUUAGGAUUAUAUGAAAGAGGACUUGAUUUGUUUUGGAAGGUUCAGUUGGUGAGAAAUGGUUUUUAUAGUAACAUACCUUGGAAAUCUAGAGAUAUUUAACAACUUUGGUAUAUUAAGAAUUUAGGUGUUAUGUAUAUUAUUAUGACCCACAUUAUUAGCUUUCA